AAGAUAAACCAAUUAUUAAUUUAUUUUCUCCUCUAGUGCCACUUUAGUUAUCGCAUAUGUGAUGCAGAAGUUUGAGUUGACUUCUCAUGAUGCGUUCAUCUGUGUUCGAGAUCGAAGGUUCUGUAUCAACCCCAAUGUUGGUUUCCGACAUCAAUUAAAGGAAUACGAGCCAAUAUAUUUAGCAGAAAGAGAUUUUCAGGAUCGUCCUUCUUCUGAAAGUGAGGAUUGUGGAGUAAAGAGGAAAAUAAAUGAAGAUGGGAUGGAUGCAACAACAAUAUGACUUGAAUUAUGAUUUACUUUCACCCAUGCCCACAGCCAAUUAGGGCAAACAUUACUUUGGAAGAAAAUUAACCUUAAAUAUAAUGUUGCAGCGUUUUUUAGUCAGGUCCAGCUUGCUAUUAUUUUGAAAGUCGUUUACAUUAACAAACAAAAAGAGGCAUUCACACUAUGGGACAUCAAUGCAUUGGA